CGGGAAUCAGAUCCGGUGUCAGAUCUGUGUCAAGAUCUGGUUAUGUAUCAAAAAAAAAAUACUUCCUGUUCCUCUUGUUUUCUACCUCUUUUCAAACGGGAAUUGGAUCUGUACCAACAAAAAAUAUUUUAUCUUCUUCCUCUACCUCUUGUUUUCUACCUCUUUUCCUUUUCAGUUGAACAUUCAAACUUAUUUCCCUUUUUCUGUACCACUCUUUUUCAUUUUCUCAAUGGUAAUUUUGAGCAUACAUGCGCGGCCAAAUAUUAGCCUUAAAGCAUUUUUGAAGCAA
rnacentral:lncRNA from 1 species